rnacentral:rRNA from 1 species
AUUGAACGCUGGCGGAAUGCUUUACACAUGCAAGUCGAACGGCAGCACGGGUGCUUGCACCUGGUGGCGAGUGGCGAACGGGUGAGUAAUGCACCGGAACGUAUCCAAUAAUGGGGGAUAACGCACCGAAAGGUGUGCUAAUACCGCAUACGCCCUGAGGGGGAAAGCGGGGGAUCGUAAGACCUCGCGUUAAUGGAGCGGCCGAUGCCGGAUUAGCUAGUUGGUGAGGUAAAGGCUCACCAAGGCGACGAUCCGUAGCUGGUCUGAGAGGACGACCAGCCACACUGGAACUGAGACACGGUCCAGACUCCUACGGGAGGCAGCAGUGGGGAAUUUUGGACAAUGGGCGCAAGCCUGAUCCAGCCAUUCCGCGUGAGUGAAGAAGGCCUUCGGGUUGGUAAAG